rnacentral:rRNA from 1 species
UUUUGGACAAUGGGCGCAAGCCUGAUCCAGCCAUGCCGCGUGAGUGAAGAAGGCCUUCGGGUUGUAAAGCUCUUUCGGCCGGGACGAAAUCGCAUGCGUGAAUAUCGUGUGUGGAUGACGGUACCGGAAUAAGAAGCACCGGCUAACUACGUGCCAGCAGCCGCGGUAAUACGUAGGGUGCGAGCGUUAAUCGGAAUUACUGGGCGUAAAGCGUGUGUAGGUGGUUGUCCAAGUUGGAUGUGAAAGCCUUGAGCUCAACUCAAGAAAUGCAUUCAGGACUGGAUGGCUAGAGGACCGGAGAGGAUAGUGGAAUUCCCAGUGUAGUGGUGAAAUACGUAGAGAUUGGGAAGAACACCAGUGGCGAAGGCGGCUAUCUGGACGGUUUCGACACUAAGACCGAAGA